rnacentral:misc_RNA from 1 species
GAUGAAGAACGUAGGUGAAAUGCGAUAAGUAAUGUGAAUUGCAGAAUUCAGUGAAUCAUCGAAUCUUUGAACGCACCUUGCGCCCCUUGGUUAUUCCAAAGGGCAUGCCUGUUUGAGUAUCAUGAACACCUCAACUCUUGUGGUUUCCCACAAUGAGCUUGGACUGUGGAGGUUUUGUUGGCCCUGUGGUCAGCUCCUCUCAAAUGGAUCAGCUUACCGGUGUUUGGUGGCAUUACGGGUGUGAUAACUAUCUACGCUCGUGGUCGUCUCCAAAUAACCUCCAGUGAUGGAGGUUCGCUGGAGCUUAUAAAUGUCUCUCCCCAGUGAAGACAGCCUUUGAACGUUCGAUCUCAAAUCAGGUAGGACUACCCGCUGAACUUAAGCAUAUCAAUAAGCGGAGGA